rnacentral:rRNA from 1 species
UACAGAGGUCUCAAGCGUUGUUCGGAUUCAUUGGGCGUAAAGGGUGCGUAGGUGGCGUCGUAAGUCGGGUGUGAAAUUUCGGAGCUCAACUCCGAAACUGCAUUCGAUACUGCGGUGCUUGAGGACUGGAGAGGAGACUGGAAUUUACGGUGUGGCAGUGAAAUGCGUAGAGAUCGUAAGGAAGACCAGUGGCGAAGGCGGGUCUCUGGACAGUUCCUGACACUGAGGCACGAAGGCCAGGGGAGCAAACGGG